rnacentral:rRNA from 1 species
ACGCGCGGUGGUCCCACCUGACCCCAUGCCGAACUCAGAAGUGAAACGCCGUAGCGCCGAUGGUAGUGUGGGGUCUCCCCAUGUGAGAGUAGGGAACUGCCAGGC